AUUUUUACUAAGGGACAUUCAUAAUUACGGAACAAUAUUUUUUAACAGCCAUGCAAAUUCAUAUAAGCAAGCCUGCUAAUUAUAUAACCACCAAGGAAACACCAACCUUCUUUUAAUUGCCAGCUUGAAUGCCCCGGGGAUGGCGACCCCGGAGAAAGGGAGUGAGGCGCCAUCAGCGGAGCAUUGCGAAGAUCAUCUCAGUGACAGCUCACCGACAUUGGGGAGAGAGCACCGCACAUUCCGCACCCGCCUCGCUGAACUCCUCGAAACCGUGGCGGCAUUGGUCGCGGAGCUCGACCGCGAAGGGCCAACGGUGAAGGAGAGAGCACCGGAGCUGCGCGGGGUUGAGCAUCCCGUCGCCAUUUCCCGCCAGCGGGAAACUUCCGUGGCACAGCCUGCACAAGCGGCCGCCAUUUUGUUCGCAGAGCGGAGAGCCCGCAAAAUCUGAGACUGCGUUGAGUUCGCCUGUUGAGAUUCCAUCCCUCAGGUGCUGCACGUCUAACGUCCCCCAAGCCGCCACCUGUGCCAUCUCCACUGGAUUCGGGAGAGGAGAACCCAUCAGCCCGGCCGACUGCUCUUCGUGAGGAGCCGGGUUCGACGGGACAAUUGCAAAUUCCCCCCAGGACCUCCAGGACAAGCGAGCCCACCUCCCCUGGGGGCCCGGCCACAAGGACUCGAUCAAAUACUUUUCACACGCUCCCACAUCGUCAAUUAGUUGUCGCACUCUGCAGGCCGUAUCGGUUAUUGUCUGAACCUAGC